AUGAUGGGUAGGGGAGCUUCGUAUGCAGGCUGAAGCAUGACCGUAAGGACAUGUGGACAGUAUACGAGUGAGAAUGUUGGCAUGAGUAGCGAGACGUGGGUGAGAAUCCCACGGGCCGUAAACCCAAGGUUUCCAGGGGAAGGUUCGUCCGCCCUGGGUUAGUCGGGACCUAAGCCGAGGCCGAAAGGCGUAGGUGAUGGACAACAGGUUGAUAUUCCUGUACCGCCAAUAAGCGUUUGAGAGAUGGAGUGACACAGUAGGAUAAGCUAACCGUACUGUUGGUUAUGUACGGCUAAGCAUUGAGGCAGUCUAAAUAGGCAAAUCCGUUUAGACAAUGCUAGGAUGUGAUGGGGAAGCCCUUCGGGGCGAAGUAGCUGAUUUCACACUGUCAAGAAAAGCUUCUAUCGAGUUUAAAGGCGCCCGUACCGUAAACCGACACAGGUGGGUGAGGAGAGUAUCCUAAGGCCAGCGAGAGAACUAUUGUUAAGGAACUCGGCAAAAUGACCCCGUAACUUAGGGAGAAGGGGUGCCUGUCUAUGACAGGCCGCAGAGAAUAGGCCCAAGCGACUGUUUACCAAAAACACAGGUUUCUGCUAAGUCGCAAGACGAUGUAUAGGAGCUGACGCCUGCCCGGUGCUGGAAGGUUAAGGGGAUCUGUUAGAGCAAUCGAAGCAGUGAACUUAAGCCCCAGUAAACGGCGGCCGUAACUAUAACGGUCCUAAGGUAGCGAAAUUCCUUGUCGGGUAAGUUCCGACCCGCACGAAAGGCGUAACGAUUUGGGCACUGUCUCAGCAAUAGACUCGGUGAAAUUGUAAUCCCGGUGAAGAUGCCGGGUACCUGCGACAGGACGGAAAGACCCCAUGGAGCUUUACUGUAGCUUGACGUUGGGUCUUGGUACUACAUGUACAGGAUAGGUGGGAGACUAUGAAGCAUGGACGCCAGUCUGUGUGGAGUCAUCCUUGGGAUACCACCCUUGUAGUACUGGGAUCCUAACCAUAGGCCUUGAAUCAGGUCUUGGAACACCGUCAGGUGGGCAGUUUGACUGGGGCGGUCGCCUCCUAAAAAGUAACGGAGGCGCUCAAAGGUUUCCUCAGCACGGUCGGAAAUCGUGCGAAGAGUGUAAAGGCAAAAGGAAGCUUGAUUGCAAGACAUACAGGUCGAGCAAGGACGAAAGUCGGACUUAGUGAUCCGGUGGUACCGCAUGGAAGGGCCAUCGCUCAACGGAUAAAAGCUACCCUGGGGAUAACAGGCUUAUCUCCCCCAAGAGUCCACAUCGACGGGGAGGUUUGGCACCUCGAUGUCGGCUCAUCACAUCCUGGGGCUGUAGUAGGUCCCAAGGGUUGGGCUGUUCGCCCAUUAAAGUGGUACGCGAGCUGGGUUCAGAACGUCGUGAGACAGUUCGGUCCCUAUCCGUCGCAGGCGUAGGAAAUUUGAGAAGACCUGUCCUUAGUACGAGAGGACCGGGAUGGACGUACCUCUGGUGUACCAGUUGUUCUGCCAAGGGCAUGGCUGGGUAGCUAUGUACGGAAUGGAUAAGCGCUGAAAGCAUCUAAGCGCGAAGCCAACUUCAAGAUAAGAUUUCCCACCGUAAGGGUAAGACCCCAGGAAGACUACCUGGUUGAUAGGUCGAAGGUGUAAGUGCAGUAAUGUAUUUAGCUUAUCGAUACUAAUAGGUCGAGGACUUGACCU
rnacentral:rRNA from 1 species